rnacentral:rRNA from 1 species
CCCUUAGACACUCUAGGCGGCACGCGCGCUACAAUGGGUGGAAGAACGUGUUACUGCCUCCGAAAGGAGGGGUGAAUCACGAAUUCUUGCCCGUGAAUGGGAUAGUUUGUUGCAAUUUUCGGACUUGAACUAGGGAUCCCUUGUAAACAUGCUCAAGAAUAGCGUGUUGAAUACGUCCCUGCCGUUUGUACACACCGCCCGUCGUUUCUUCCGACUGAUACUCAUUGUGAGUUGCAAGGACCCUUUAUUGGGAAAUUGCUGCAAAUGCUUUGUAUUGGAGGAAGAAAAAGUCGUAACA